rnacentral:piRNA from 2 species
UCCUUUUCAACUCUUCUUGCCUCUCAGCC